rnacentral:lncRNA from 1 species
GCGUGAGUAGUAAGUUUCCAAUUUGUUUGCUCGAUUGUAUGGAGUCCAAGGGGUCGAGAUAAAUAGUUCGAAUAAAUUAACUAAACAUACAUAGUCCUCGAUCAAUUUACAUUGUCAAAAUUAAACAAAAAAUUACAAAGGAUCGGGGUGGGGAAGUCAUCCAAUGUGACCAAGAGGAGGGUCGAGGUUGCUGAUGUCGAUCUCAACGUCGUCCUCAAGACCAUCCUCAUCAUCUCCACCCGAUCCUCCUCCAUCUUCCGAACCCGAGAGCUCCAAUGUAUCAGCAAUGGAAGGCACCGUCUUCAGGUCGUCUGGAGUGACGUGGGGCAACUUCUGCCUGAGGAAGGCCCGGGCUUCUUUCAGAGCAUGGAAGUACGCCCCCGACGCAUACUCCCCUUUUAUCUUGUCGCAGUCCUCGGAGGUUUUAAACUCCUCCCAAGCCCUCUCCCUGACAGCCUCGAGCUCGCGCCCGAAAUCCUCUGUCUUCUGGAUGAGCUCGAGCCUCGCGCCCUCGACCUCAUCCUUUGCUGCAACCAAGUCAUCCCNNNN